AUUGUGGUCAAAUAUUCCAUCAAGCCAAAAAUGCCCUUGUGUAGGUGGCAACAUACCCUUUUAUUGCAUAAAGAUGUCAUUUAUUAGAAAGGGAAGGCAUAAGAGCUCUUUGCCACCCUUCCCUGGAAGAAUCAAGAUCUGCACACACACAUGCACGCAUGCAUGCACGCACACACACACAUACACUCUAUUUAGGAACAAGUACCUCCUAACUUUCUCCUCUCUCUUGAGCUAUUCUAGCCUCCCUUCUCUUCCUCUCAUUAAGUUCUGGGAUAAAAGGAGAAGAACUCUUCAGUCUUGAACAUUAUUCACAUUGAUACUUAAUUAACAUUUUUAGCUAUAAUUCAGUACAUUUUUUUUAAUUUUAAUUUAAUUAUUUCACAAUAACAGCAAAUGAACUUAUGUUUCUGUAAUUAACAUAGAUAUCUAACCUGCAGAUAGUCAAAGUCUCUUUAUGGAUCUAGGAUGUGGAGAAGUUAGAAAGAGUCCAAGGGCAAGUGAUAAAAAUGAUAAAGAGGUUAGAAGUCAGGUUGUAUGAAGAAAGGUUGAGAGAGCUAAGCAUGUUUAGCUUAGAGAAAAAGCUGGAAAAGGGAGGCAAUGAUAUCAAUCUUCAAAUAUCAGAAAGGCUGCCAUAAAUACGAGAGAGAACAACUCUUUUCCAUCAUUACAGAUGGUAGGACUUGAAGCAAUGGCUCUAAAUUUCAGCAAAGUAGCUUUAGAUUAGACAUCAGGAAAAACUUCCUUAUUGUUAGAACAAGAAAGUGGAUGAACUGCCCAGGGAAGUUGUGGAAUCUCCUUCACUGGAGCAUCUCAGGAAGAGGCUGGAUAAGCAUUGGACAAGGAUGAUUUAGGACCUUGCGUGCAGAUGACCCUUGAGGUCCUUAUGAUCCUAUGAUUUUCUUAAUAACUUGGUGAUUCAGGCACUUGCCCAGGAAGUGAGAAACUUGAUUUCUAGGCCCACUUCAUCCUGAAUGGGUUUGUACCCAUACCUACUUCUUAGGGCAGUGCCAGUCAAUGGUGUAACUAUAGUGGGACAAAUGGUGCACUGGCCCCAGGCACUGACUUAGAGAGGGUAUUAGCAUGGUCCCCUCCAGCCCCAGAAGUCUUUUCCAUGGGAGAUGUAACCAUGUGCAGAUGGGACACAGAGAGCCAGUCAGGUACAGCCCCAUGCCCUGUAGUGUAUCUGGAGGAAGUGGAAACAAAUGAAAUAUAUUCCAUCUGUGCCCUGCCUCCCCCCCUUUAUAGGCUUUGCCAUGGGAUGUGCAGUCCUUCACCCAGAAGCAUAUCUGCGGGGGGAGGGGGAAGGGGAACGAAUGGGGCAUCAGGAACAGCACUGGAGAGUCUGCACCAGUUGGGCUGCUGAACCAGCAUGCAGAGAGCCCAUUCCUCAGCUACAGUAGGCAAGCUCACACUGCUACAGAGAAGCUGUAGCAGCUGCUACCUGAGAUCAGAGAGCAGGGACAGGUAUGAUCCUGAACCCCCACUCCUGUUUUAUAAUGGUCAGCAUAAUUCCCUCUUCCAUUCCCCCUGCCCCACAUUUAUUUUGUUAUGCCUCUGGUGCCAAUUGCACGAGACCAUGAACUAGGCAGGACUUGACACCUUUCCCCACCUCCUACUAAAACUGGGACACUGGAUGGAAAGGAAUGUGAAGAUCACAGAGCCCAUGGGAGCAUGACUGUGUACCCCAGUGAGAAGUACACUUUCCCAGGAAGAAGGAAUCCUGAGUUUUGCCUGCUUCUCUCUUCUUCUGGUGCUAGUUACCCAGUUCAUCCAAAUGCCUCUGUCUUGGCAGCAGAGGCUGAAACACAAGAAUUCCUCUCCUCCUCCACUACCAAGUACCAAACCACUAAACUAUAGUUACAUUUUCUCCUGUUUGCUCCCUGGCAUAAUGCAUUUAACAUUAGAUAGCCACUGGUCAGGCAAAAGAAAUAACAGCAGAGGCCAAAACUCAAAAUAUCCUCAAGCAAGAGAAUUAGGAAAUGUGAGUUCAAAUCUGCGUAGGGUGAGGUGGGCCUAGAAUCCAUUUCCUGACAACUGCCUUAACACUUGCGUUAGUGAGCAAAAGGUAAGCAGCAGCACCACCACAUUGAUCUCAACAUCAAACAGUGUCUGAGCAUGUUUUACCUGACAAAGGAUCUGGAGAAUGAGUCAGAAUGUAAGUGAAUUACCAAACUGAAUUGGAUCAUAAAGUGUAAGUGGAGCCUUUAUACCUAUGUGCUCACAGUAGCUUACUUCUGAGCAUGAACAGCAGACCAAGUCUAGUUGCCCAGGCUGGGUUUUCUUCAGGCCCAUGCAAAAAGGUUUAAAUGAAAGUCCAUAAAGAAUCUAGGUGCCUUAGCAGAAUUUUGGCUGUUGCAAAAGCUAGAAUAGGAUCAUAUUUAGUGACUUUGAUGCCUAAAGGCUCAUAAACUUAUGAUCUGACCCAUAGUUACCAAAAGUAAUACUAAAAGGUUUAACUGUAUUAUUUGCCUGAGACUGGAAAGUCAACUUUAGUAAAAGCACCUAGUUCUCAGUAUGAGGGCAAGCUCAAGUAUGAAUUCAGCUCACACACAUUAGGGUCUACUUGCAAAUACAUUUAGUUGGGCUCCUUGGCACAAAGGUUCAACCACCUGAUAUCCCCCACCCAUCUCAUCCUUGGGCAUUUUCAUUAGGGUUGAAAUAUUUUUAGAACCAGCACAUUAUAGAAAAUGGCCCCUAUUGGAGCCAUUAGCAUUUUCCUUUUCAGCAAUCAUAUUGGGUGAUGGAACAUCGCCGAGUGUAAUGAAAUGCUCAUUCCUUUGACCAGUUCAGCAAACUAAACUGGUUUCCUGAACAUCCAGGAGCAUAUAGGUCUCUUGUCUGGUGGUAAGACCCUAAUCCUGCAAACAUGUACAUGCAGAACUACCCCCGAUAUCAAAGGUAAAUAUGUGCAUAAUUAUUUUUCAGGCUCUAACAAAUUAUAGCACCUUCAGACUAAACUAUAUCCUUUUCUUCUGUAAUAUGUGCAUGAUGAGAAAUCUCUGUGAUAUGUUUCCAUUUAAAUGAAUUGUAUUUGUGUAUUUGGUGUACAUGAGUAUAUUACAUGUUUUGUCAAUCUUGGAAUUUCAACAAGAUUAUAAGCAGUUUCUUUUAUAAACAAUUCUUUCAUCAAAUAACCAAAGCUGCAACUUCUAUAUUAUGAAUAAAUUUGCUUUAUUAUAAACUAGUGGCUUAGAACAGUGAUUCUUGUACUCAUCCAGUACAAUAAAGGAUGUAUACUGAUUUCAGGCAAAGUAUUGGAAUUAACUCCGUGUGUACACCUGCAUACGCAAACCACUUCUGAUUGAAAUAAACAUUUCAUAACUGUGCUUCA